AGUGAACGCUGGCGGUAGGCCUAACACAUGCAAGUCGAACGGCAGCACAGUAAGAGCUUGCUCUUACGGGUGGCGAGUGGCGGACGGGUGAGGAAUACAUCGGAAUCUACUUUUUCGUGGGGGAUAACGUAGGGAAACUUACGCUAAUACCGCAUACGACCUACGGGUGAAAGCAGGGGAUCUUCGGACCUUGCGCGAUUGAAUGAGCCGAUGUCGGAUUAGCUAGUUGGCGGGGUAAAGGCCCACCAAGGCGACGAUCCGUAGCUGGUCUGAGAGGAUGAUCAGACACACUGGAACUGAGACACGGUCCAGACUCCUACGGGAGGCAGCAGUGGGGAAUAUUGGACAAUGGGCGCAAGCCUGAUCCAGCCAUAACGCGUGGGUGAAGAAGGCCUUCGGGUUGUAAAGCCCUUUUGUUGGGAAAGAAAAGCAGCAGGUUAAUAACCCGCUGUUCUGACGGUACCCAAAGAAUAAGCACCGGCUAACUUCGUG
rnacentral:rRNA from 1 species